rnacentral:lncRNA from 1 species
CACACACGUACACAUGCUCAUAUGCACAUGUGCUCACACAUACAUAUGCACACACACGUCCUGUCAGGCUGGGUCAGAAACGCACUUUCUCCAUUAUUCAUGAUCUUAUUCAGGAGUCUUUAUUUUGGUUAAGGAGGGUCGUAGGGGAGAGAGGGGCAGCAGGUGCUUCAUUACAUCACAAAUUCUUUGCUGCAGGCUCUGCGUGGGGGGUGAGCAGAGGACAUCAGAAGAAACUGAGGCGGCCUCGGAGCCCCUGGCAGGAGCUCUUCACUGGGACCCCCAGCCCCGUCUGCAGCCCAUCUCAGAACAGCACUGGCUUGGCUGGCAAGGCUGCUUCUCGGGGCCCAGGCGCAUCAGCUCUGCGAGAGUGGAACCUGAUCCUCAUGUGACCUGCUUUUCCUCGUGACACAGCCUGGCACCCAAGAGAUCCUCACUCCCAAAACUCAACAGUAAAAGAGCAAACCAUCAGGUUAGAAAAUGUGAAAGACAUGCACAGACAUUUCACCAGAGAGGACACGUGGAUGGCAAAGGCGGCGGGAAGAGAUGUUCGCCGUCAUUAGCCAUUCUGGCAACGCAGAGGAGGACCGCUGUGAGACACCACCAUGUGCCUGUCCGAACAGCUAGAACCAAAGAUAAUGACAACUGAAAGCUGGUGAGGAUGUGGAGAAACGGAAUCACCCCUCCAUUGUCGGUGGAAAGGGAAAACGCCUUAGCCACUCUGGAGAACAGUCUGGCAGCUUCCUAUAAAAACUAGGCAUGCGCUACCACAGAGCCCGACCACGGUAUUUUUGGCCGUUUAUCCUGAAGAAACGAAAAGUUAUGUUCAAGUGAAAACAUGUACACAAAUGUUCAUGGCAGCUUUACUUGGAACGGCCCCAUACUGGAAGCAACCCAAUGCCCUUCAAUGGGUGAAUGAUUAAACAAACUCCAGUGCAUCCAUACCACGGAAUUCUGGACAAGUAAAACAAACAAACUGUUGGCGCACACCACACCUGCGUGAACCUCCAGAGAAUUACGCUGAAUGAAAAAGCCAACCCAAAAGGUCACAUUCUGUGUGAUUCUAUUUAUAUAACAUUGUAAAAUGACAAAGUUUUAGAAAUGGAGAACAGAUUAGAGGGCCAGGGGUUAAGGAUGGGGGGAGGCAGGCAGGAGGGAGAGGGGUGUGGCUCUCACAGGGCGGCAGGAGGGGCCUUGAGGGGACAGAGCUGUUUUGCAUCUUGAUGGUGCUGUUGAGUGCCUGAACCUACACGUGAUAAAAAUUGUAGCAAAAAAUGCACACGGAAAUGAGUGCGUGUGAACUGGGAAAUCGGACUAGGACUGGUGGGUUGCAUCAUUGCAGACACUCCAGUUGUGCUAUUGUGUUGUAGUUUUGAAAUAUGCUGUCAUUGGGGAAACCAGGUUAAGUGUACAUGGGCCCUCUUUGUGAGCUCCUGCAACUGCAUGUGAAUCUACAACGAGCUCAAUAAAGAUUUCCAUCAAAAAAUACUCUCAUGCACCCAAAAAGAAGGUGUUAAAAACGCAAGCAUGCACAAGGCUCUGAAUAAAUAUUCACGAAUGAUCAAAAGUCCCCUGUGCUCUUCACAAUUCACCUGGGGCUCUCUCCUCCCACUCCUGCUCGAUGCCGGCCUCAUUUUAAUGGGUGACAGAACUGUCAUUGUCUACCAGCUUUAGAGGAUGGCCAGGGUUGAGUGGCAGAGACGAGUGAAGCCAGAAGAUCUGGGCCCUGGGUUCAGGCAGAGUCCCUGGUGGCAUACUUGGCAGUGUGGGCAUUUAGGGCUGUGUCCCAGAAACGGCCCUAGGCUGGCCCUGGGGACCUGCAGCCUUCUCAAAGGUCACAAGUUUCCCUGAAGGAUAGAGGCUGCUGG